CCCCAGACUCCUACGGGAGGCAGCAGUGGGGAAUAUUGCACAAUGGGGGGAACCCUGAUGCAGCGACGCCGCGUGAGUGAAGAAGUAUUUCGGUAUGUAAAGCUCUAUCAGCAGGGAAGAAAAUGACGGUACCUGACUAAGAAGCACCGGCUAAAUACGUGCCAGCAGCCGCGGUAAUACGUAUGGUGCAAGCGUUAUCCGGAUUUACUGGGUGUAAAGGGAGCGCAGGCGGCACGGCAAGCCUGAUGUGAAAGCCCGCGGCCCAACCGCGGGACUGCAUUGGGAACUACCGGGCUGGAGUGCCGGAGAGGUAAGCGGAAUUCCUAGUGUAGCGGUGAAAUGCGUAGAUAUCAGGAGGAACACCGGUGGCGAAGGCGGCCUGCUGGACUGCAACUGACGUUGAGGCCCGAAAGCGUGGGGAGCAAACAGGAUUAGAUACCCCGGUAUC
rnacentral:rRNA from 1 species